GCUGGCGGCGUGCCUAAUACAUGCAAGUCGAACGCUCGAAGUUGAAGAGCUUGCUCUUGAACCAAGUGAGUGGCGGACGGGUGAGUAACACGUGGGUGACCUGCCCAUUAGAGGGGGAUAACAUUCGGAAACGGAUGCUAAUACCGCAUAGUUUCAGGAAUCGCAUGAUUCUUGAAGGAAAGGUGGCUUCGGCUUCCACUAAUGGAUGGACCCGCGGCGUAUUAGCUAGUUGGUGAGGUAAUGGCUCACCAAGGCAAUGAUACGUAGCCGACCUGAGAGGGUGAUCGGCCACACUGGGACUGAGACACGGCCCAGACUCCUACGGGAGGCAGCAGUGGGGAAUCUUCCGCAAUGGACGAAAGUCUGACGGAGCGACGCCGCGUGAGUGAAGAAGGUUUUCGGAUCGUAAAACUCUGUUGUUAAAGAAGAACCAGGAUGAGAGUCACUGCUCAUCCCUGACGGUAUUUAACCAGAAAGCCACGGCUAACUACGUGCCAGCAGCCGCGGUAAUACGUAGGUGGCGAGCGUUGUCCGGAUUUAUUGGGCGUAAAGCGAGCGCAGGCGGUUCUUUAAGUCUUAUGUGAAAGCCCCCGGCUCAACCGGGGAGGGUCAUUGGAAACUGGAGAACUUGAGUGCUGAAGAGGAGAGUGGAAUUCCACGUGUAGCGGUGAAAUGCGUAGAUAUGUGGAGGAACACCAGUGGCGAAGGCGACUCUCUGGUCUGUAACUGACGCUGAGGCUCGAAAGCGUGGGGAGCAAACAGGAUUAGAUACCCUGGUAGUCCACGCCGUAAACGAUGAGUGCUAAGUGUUGGAGGGUUUCCGCCCUUCAGUGCUGCACUAACGCAUUAAGCACUCCGCCUGGGGAGUACGGCCGCAAGGCUAAAACUCAAAGGAAUUGACGGGGACCGCACAAGCGGUGGAGCAUGUGGUUUAAUUCGAAGCAACGCGAAGAACCUUACCAGGUCUUGACAUCCACCGACCACUCUAGAGAUAGAGCUUUCCUUCGGGGACAAAGUGACAGGUGGUGCAUGGUUGUCGUCAGCUCGUGUCGUGAGAUGUUGGGUUAAGUCCCGCAAUCCCGCAACGAGCGCNACCCUUAUUACUAGUUGCCAGCAUUUAGUUGGGCACUCUAGUGAGACUGCCGGUGACAAACCGGAGGAAGGUGGGGAUGACGUCAAAUCAUCAUGCCCCUUAUGACCUGGGCUACACACGUGCUACAAUGGAUGGUACAACGAGUCGCAAGGUCGCGAGGCCAAGCUAAUCUCUUAAAGCCAUUCUCAGUUCGGAUUGUAGGCUGCAACUCGCCUCCAUGAAGCCGGAAUCGCUAGUAAUCGCGGAUCAGAACGCCGCGGUGAAUACGUUCCCGGGCCUUGUACACACCGCCCGUCACACCACGAGAGUUUGUAACACCC
rnacentral:rRNA from 1 species